UACGUAGGGUGCCAGCGUUGUUCGGAAUCACUGGGCGUAAAGGGCGUGUAGGUGGAUUGUUAAGUCAGGUGUGAAAUCCCACAGCUUAACUGUGGAACUGCGCUUGAAACUGGCAGUCUAGAGUACAGUAGAGGAUGAUAGAAUUCCAAGUGUAGUGGUGAAAUACGUAGAUAUUUGGAGGAAUACCGGAGGCGAAGGCGAUCAUCUGGACUUGUACUGACGCUAAGGCGCGAAAGCGCGGGGAG
rnacentral:rRNA from 1 species